rnacentral:rRNA from 1 species
UACGGGGGGGGCAAGCGUUGUUCGGAAUUACUGGGCGUAAAGGGCUCGUAGGUGGCCAACUAAGUCAGACGUGAAAUCCCUCGGCUUAACCGGGGAACUGCGUCUGAUACUGGAUGGCUUGAGUUCGGGAGAGGGAUGCGGAAUUCCUGGUGUAGCGGUGAAAUGCGCAGAUAUCAGGAGGAACACCGGUGGCGAAGGCGGGUCUCUGGGCCGAUACUGACGCUGAGGAGCGAAAGCGUGGGGAGCGAACAGG